rnacentral:rRNA from 1 species
UGAGUAACACGUGCCCAACCUGCCGUCUACUCUUGGACAGCCUUCUGAAAGGAAGAUUAAUACAAGAUGGCAUCAUGAGUCCGCAUGUUCACAUGAUUAAAGGUAUUCCGGUAGACGAUGGGGAUGCGUUCCAUUAGAUAGUAGGCGGGGUAACGGCCCACCUAGUCUUCGAUGGAUAGGGGUUCUGAGAGGAAGGUCCCCCACAUUGGAACUGAGACACGGUCCAA